rnacentral:rRNA from 1 species
UGGGGAAUAUUGGACAAUGGGGGCAACCCUGAUCCAGCAAUGCCGCGUGUGUGAAGAAGGUCUUCGGAUUGUAAAGCACUUUCGACGGGGACGAUGAUGACGGUACCCGUAGAAGAAGCCCCGGCUAACUUCGUGCCAGCAGCCGCGGUAAUACGAAGGGGGCUAGCGUUGCUCGGAAUGACUGGGCGUAAAGGGCGUGUAGGCGGUUUACACAGUCAGAUGUGAAAUCCCCGGGCUUAACCUGGGAGCUGCAUUUGAUACGUGUAGACUAGAGUGUGAGAGAGGGUUGUGGAAUUCCCAGUGUAGAGGUGAAAUUCGUAGAUAUUGGGAAGAACACCGGUGGCGAAGGCGGCAACCUGGCUCAUGACUGACGCUGAGGCGCGAAAGCGUGGGGAGCAAACAGGAUUAGGAUACCCUGGUAGUCCACGCUGUAAACGAUGUGUGCUAGAUGUUGGGUAACUUUGUUAUUCAGUGUCGCAGUUAACGCGUU